GAUGAAGAACGUAGCAAAAUGCGAUACUUGGUGUGAAUUGCAGAAUCCCGUGAACCAUCGAGUUUUUGAACGCAAGUUGCGCCCGAAGCCUUUUGGCCGAGGGCACGUCUGCCUGGGCGUCACGCAUCGCGUCGCCCCCCACAAUUCUCCGUAAAGGGAACAUGUGUUUUGGGGGCGGAUAUUGGUCCCCCGUGCUCAUGGCGUGGUUGGCCGAAAUAGGAGUCCUUUCGAUGGACGCACGAACUAGUGGUGGUCGUAAAAACCCUCGUCUUUUGUUUCGUGCUGUUGCUCGCAAGGUAAACUCUUUAAAAACCCCAAUGUGUCGUCUCUUGACGACGCUUCGACCGCGACCCCAGGUCAGGCGGGACUACCCGCUGAGUUUAAGCAUAUCAAGAAGCGGAGGA
rnacentral:misc_RNA from 1 species